UACGUAGGGGGCAAGCGUUGUCCGGAAUCAUUGGGCGUAAAGAGCGUGUAGGCGGCUCGGUAAGUCCGCUGUGAAAGUCCAGGGCUCAACCCUGGAAUGCCGGUGGAAACUGUCGAGCUAGAGUCCGGAAGAGGCGAGUGGAAUUCCUGGUGUAGCGGUGAAAUGCGCAGAUAUCAGGAGGAACACCGAUGGCGAAGGCAGGUCUCUGGGCCAUAACUGACGCUGAGAAGCGAAAGCAUGGGGAGCGAACAGG
rnacentral:rRNA from 1 species